ACUAAGCCAUUUUCUAUGGACCUACAAAGUUUCAGGCCAACCGGAGUCCGUCAAAAAAAAUCCUACAAAAUCAGCAUGUACUAAUACAAAUAAAAAAAUGAAUAUAAUUAUAAUUUUUUUGCAGCAACUAAGAAGAAGAAGAAGAAGAAGAAAGGAGGAAGAAAAGGCCUGAAAUUAUAUAUAUUUUGAGUACUAGUUAAAUAUUUUUUUAAAAGUGGAUACAAGUUAAAUAGAUCAUGUAAAUAUCAUUUAUAUCUUCUUUGGGUAGAGGUAAGGUUUGCGUACAUUCUACCCUCCCCAGACAGGCAGACUCCACUAGUGGAAUUACACGUUAUUAUUGUUGUUGGGUACAAGGUAAAUAGGACGACAAGUAAGGCACCCCUGAAAUUUUUACCUACUUUUUUCUGACUUGUAACUCCGCCCUCGAUAACCUGUGAUUUGUGAACAUUGUAUGGACUAGAUUGUUCGGUUCAAUCAAUAAUGUGUCCAAAAUUCCAUGGUCCUACUUGUCUCAUUUUGACGAUUUUUCUCUUGUUUGAUAUCUACAUCUUAAGUUACAAUCUUCAAAUUUUACUGUCCUGAAUAUCUUACUUGGGUUAAUAUACGAUAGCAUCCUUCGAGGCAGACGAUUACCUGUGUGUUCAGUAAAACUCAACAACUUUAGUUUAAAUUUUAUAUUUAUAUUAAAAAGUUCACAAAAUAUGUACAAAACAUUUUCCAUAAAGUUUCUCUUAUAACACAGACCAACAAACGAUUUCAAUAAACUAAAUUAGACAAGAUUAAAGAUUGAAAAAUAAGUCCACUUAAAGAUAAAAAUUUACUUGGUUCUUCACUUCUUUGCAACAAAUGACAUUGAAACAAUAAUACACUGAAAUAAUUUCAUAAAUAAAUCGCUAUUCAACAAUAGCACAAUCCACAAAGAUACAAUUUUGAGGGAAGAGGAAGAGAAAAUAAAUCAAGAAACUCGACAUCCUCUCAUGUCGAUCCAGGCAAUUAAUCCUUCAAAUCUUAGCUUGGAACCUGUAAUUCAGACAGAAUUUAUGAUUAAUGAGUUUAAGUUCCUUACUUUA
rnacentral:lncRNA from 1 species